GUUAUGACCCAAACCUAACCUCAUUCAUAAGGUUAUGACCCAAAACUAACCUCAGUCAUAAGGUUAUGACCCAAAACUAACCUCAGUCAUAAGGUUAUGACCCAAACCUAACCUCAGUCAUAAGGUUAUGACCCAAACCUAACCUCAGUCAUAAGGUUAUGACCCAAACCUAACCUCAGUCGUAAGGUUAUGACACAAAACUAACCUCAGUCAUAAGGUUAUGACCCAAACCUAACCUCAUUCGUAAGGUUAUGACCCAAACCUCUCCUCUCCUCAUUCAUGAGGUUAUGACUGUUUGGACGUUCUGUCCUCUGCCUGCAGAGGGCGCCCCCGCGCUGUGUUCAGCCUAACCGUGUCCCGCUCCCCUGGGCGGUGCGUAGGUCUGCGGUCUUAUUACCGUAAUGUACUGA
ensembl:lncRNA